AUGGCAUCCACGAUCAUGGCCGCCGCCUCCCGCGCCGUUGUCGCCAAGACGCCGUUCCUCAGCGGCCAGGGCCGCGCCGCCAGCGCCAGCCCCCUGCGCGACAUCGCCGCCGCGGCCAACGGCAGAAUCACCAUGGGCAACGACUUGUGGUACGGCCCGGACCGCGUCAAGUACCUGGGCCCCUUCUCCGCGCAGACGCCGUCCUACCUGAACGGCGAGUUCCCCGGCGACUACGGCUGGGACACCGCCGGGCUUUCUGCCGACCCGGAGGCGUUCGCUAGGAACAGGGCGCUGGAGGUGAUCCACGGGCGGUGGGCGAUGCUCGGCGCUCUUGGCUGCGUCUUCCCCGAGGUGCUCCAGAAGUGGGUGGGCGUCGAGUUCAAGGAGCCCGUCUGGUUCAAGGCCGGCUCGCAGAUCUUCUCCGAGGGCGGCCUCGAUUACCUUGGAAACCCCAACCUCGUCCACGCGCAGAGCAUCCUUGCCGUGCUGGGCUUCCAGGUCCUUCUCAUGGGUCUGGUUGAAGGGUUCCGCAUCAAUGGUCUCGACGGUGUCGGCGAGGGCAACGACCUCUACCCCGGCGGCCAGUACUUCGACCCGCUCGGCCUUGCCGACGACCCUGUCACCUUCGCUGAGCUCAAGGUGAAGGAGAUCAAGAAUGGCCGUCUCGCCAUGUUCUCUAUGUUUGGGUUCUUCGUCCAAGCUAUCGUCACCGGUAAGGGCCCAUUGGAGAACCUGUUCGACCACCUCGACGACCCUGUCGCCAACAAUGCAUGGGUUUUCGCCACCAAGUUUGCGCCUGGAUCUUAG
rnacentral:rRNA from 1 species